UAAUUUGAAGUGACUAUGAGGAAGGAUCUCACCUAUGCAACCUAAGAGGACUCCAAAAGGAACCUAUGUUCACCUGUAAGUCUACCAGUCAAGUGAGACUGAAGAAGAACACAGAGUGAAGGCCGCCAUAGUGAGUAUCAGGAGAGGCCCCAGGGAACCUUUUGUUCCUCCUGAGACUACUGUUAUCCUGUUUCCACAAGUCGGGCACCUGAGGCUGGAUGUAUUCAAGGACAGAGCAGGUCCCAUCUGAGUCUGGGAAUAGAGGGUCUUCCAGUGCCCACUAAGCCAAAUGUUGCCUUUCUGCUCCUUGGCCACAGGUCUGUCCACUGGAUAGAAUGGGCCCAUGGUUCAAGGAGCCACCAGACACCAUUCACUGGGUUGUCCCUGGACUAGAGAGUCAGCCAAUGUGGUUUUGACUUGGAAAAAUGCUAUAAUAGUCUUCCUCUCAAUAAGCUAAUCUCAUGGAAUGUGCAGAAGGAAAAGACCACCAGUAUAAGGUAGUGGAAGAAAGGGUAGGACAGCAAUUGUCAUGCUUUCUUCUCUUCCCUGAACAGAAUCCGUGAACAACUGCAAAUAGGUCAUGGUUCCAUGACAGAAGAGUGAGCCCUUCUGCUUCCAAGGGGCUUGGGGCAGGGUCCUUCUAACUCAGCUUGGUGUCUUCAUCCGAUAAUGCUGCUUCAUUGGUGCCCUAUCAAAAUCAUGUCUUUGCCAAGCCUGGUGGCACAUGCCUAUAAUCCCUAAUCCCCAUGGCUUGGGAGGCUGAGACAGGAGGAUUGUGAGUUCAAAGAUGGCCUCAGCAAUUUAGCCAGGGCCUAAGCAAUGAAGAGUUAUGGAAAAUAAGUCCAAGGACAUUUGUCUUAAGCUUUUGUCAUUUAAAAUUGCAGGCCUCAGCCAGAGCAAGGAACACAAAAGAAACUCCACCAGACUGGUACCUAACCUCCUACCCUAAUGGGUCAAUUAAUGCCAAUACAAUAAGCCCCAGGGAAUACCCUAUUUAUAUUCCUGUCCCACCCUAAAGGAAGCCUAUAUAACCCAGACCUUGCUUCAGCAGG
rnacentral:lncRNA from 1 species